rnacentral:rRNA from 1 species
CCUACGGGAGGCAGCAGUGGGGAAUAUUGCACAAUGGGGGAAACCCUGUUGCAGCGACGCCGCGUGAGUGAAGAAGUAUUUCGGUAUGUAAAGCUCUAUCAGCAGGGAAGAAAAUGACGGUACCUGAUUCAGAAGCCCCGGCUAACUACGUGCCAGCAGCCGCGGUAAUACGUAGGGGGCAAGCGUUAUCCGGAUUUACUGGGUGUAAAGGGAGCGUAGACGGCAGCACAAGUCUGGAGUGAAAUGCCGGGGCUUAACCCCGGAACUGCUUUGGAGACUGUGCAGCUAGAGUGCAGGAGAGGUAAGUGGAAUUCCUGGUGUAGCGGUGAAAUGCGUAGAUAUUAGGAGGAACACCAGUGGCGAAGGCGGCUUACUGGACUGUAACUGACGUUGAGGCACGAAAGCGUGGGGAGCAAACAGGAUUAGAUACCCCUGUAGUC